GGGGGGGGGGGUGUUUGCUUCUGUUGGCUGGCGUUAUGGCAGUAGGGAUGCUAGGUUGAAGGUUGUUGGCUAAAGCUGUGGAAAAGGUGGUGGACGGCUGCUUCGUGGUGGCUUCUGGUGGUGUUGAAUGGAGAUCUGGCCGGCCACUGAAAAGGAAAGGACCUCCGGGGAGUUGCUUAGAUGGAGAGCAAAAGAGCGGUCCUUUGGUGUGGCUUGGUUGAAGGGUGAAAAUUGGUGAGGGAUGGCUGGAGGUCACGCUAGCUCCAUUGUUGUCUUCUUUUCUAGGGUUUUGUUCAAUGUCUUGUUUAAGGAAGAGAAUAUGUGGGGGUUUUGGACUGC
rnacentral:lncRNA from 1 species